AAAGAGUAUACAGAAUAUAGGUCUGAAACUGGAAAUUUUCCAGCUGGAUUUAAAGAGAAUUGUUGUAGCUAAAGGGGAUAGUUAUGCAUUCAAUAAGAACGUAAGAGUACCUAAGCAUAAAGCACUGGGCUAGACUUUGGGUGGGGAGGUGUUUAUAGAGAUGGAUGGGUUGCAAACUCAAGUCACUUAACAACCUACUGAGGAUGAUCCGAACACAUGGAAAUUAAAUAAGAUGUCACAGUCAGUAUAUCAAGUCACUUUGGCAGGGUCUCAGGAGCAGCUUAGUGGGAUAUAUUACACAGUGAUGCGUUUUUACAUUUUCAAUAUGUAGGUCUCAAGGAAAAGACAGUGGGAAAGAGUGAAGAUACAUUCUGUAAAGUUGAACUGAACUGCUUGCAUGAAAGAAAAGAGAAAGAAAGUCGAAAUCUAAAACAUGGAAGAGGAAGAGGAAUCAAAGGGAGAGAGAGAACUUUAAGACAAGAAUAAGAACCCUGAGCCCUAAGGUUGAUAAACCAGUGGUUACAACCCACAGAACCAGUUUUAGGAAUGGAUUGCUCUGCUCCAACUCAGUUGUCAGAUUCCAGGAGAUGCCACUGGAGGAAGAGAAAUGGAUAAAGUUUGCUCUCAAUGAGAUCCACACCCCAAGGCUCCUUCAAGCCAGCCCUGGGGAACAUCUGGGACAAAGGUAUAUUCAGAGAUCUAGGAGUAAACUACCAGGCUGGGUCCUCCUCUGCUCUAGAAACAAACAAACAAGCGGCAUGUGUCUCUAAGAGAAAAUAGUGAAAUUACAGACCAGAACCAGCCUCUGCUGAGAGAACGACCCUCUCAGACCUCAGACCUCUCUGACUCUAAGCCAGGCGACCCUAAAUACCUUCUCCCUGACGAGCCUGCACCAGAAGCCAGCUGCCUGCAUGGUACCAUGGAUGACCAUCACACCUGGGCUCUGACUCAUUUUGGAGAAGUGAAUGCCAUUAUUUAGAGUAAGAAAGUCCUGAGGGAAAUUAAGAACCCCUACCCGGCCACAUGGGUGUGAGAAGCCUUGGAGAACAAGCGCCGUCUGCCCCAGCUGUCAUCUCUCCCAGCAGAAAAGACGUGACCAGUGGACUCACCGUGAAAUACUGGUCGUGGCUUAGGAGAGCCUCCUCUCAGCACUUACUGUGGAAAGAGAGCAGGAAGAAUUCAAAGGAUGAGUAAAGAGACCUCAGACAUCUGACUCAGGGGUAGGAGCGGACUGAUGGGAUCAGAGUCAUUCCAGUUGCCCAGUGAGAGCUCGGCCAGCCUCAGGACAGUCCUGCUCCCCCAACACUUGGGCACAGGGGCCAGGUGCCCUGGACUCUGCACACAGGCUCAAAGAACGGGGAAGAGGUGAUGAUCAGAGUUUAGCUAAUGUUGCCUUUGAGCCACAGUGGAGGCUGCUGAGCUGAGUCACAGCCCUGAAAGGAGCAUGGGGCUGACAAGGAUGGUCUUCAGGACAGAACUCCUCCCCAGGUCUGCAUUUCCCUGUCAGCACUGAUUCGGGGACAGGUGGCCCCUGGGUAGGCCUGGAACAUCAGGACCACAGUUUCCUCUUUGCUCUGAAUUAUUGUGGAUGACUCUUAUUGAGUGUGCUCAGUGUGCACAGAACAGCGCCAGUCAGCCCAGAUCAGCUUCCUAAGGGAAGA
ensembl:lncRNA